CCGAGUGUAGGGUUCCUAGCGAGCCCAACCUCCCACCCGUGUUUACUGUACCUUAGUUGCUUCGGCGGGCCCGCCAUUCAUGGCCGCGGGGGGCUCUCAGCCCCGGGCCCGCGCCCGCCGGAGACACCACGAACUCUGUCUGAUCUAGUGAAGUCUGAGUUGAUUGUAUCGCAAUCAGUUA
rnacentral:misc_RNA from 1 species